CAAGGUGGAGGAAGUGGCCCACGCCAUCAGCGUGGACCAGCACAUCACCAAGUGCUUCCUCAAAGGCAGUGUGGGUGGGGCCCUCAUCCUUGGUCCCUGUGGGUGUCCCCUCCUGGGCCCACGUACUACACUUGGGCUGUCCCUGCUGCUUUGUCCCAAGAAGCACAAGGAAGAUUCCUGGGUCCACACCAGCCUUAAGGCCAGGACACCAUCUAGCCCGGCGGAACAGAUCUACCUGCAACUGGCUUGUCUCCUAUCAUCCCUGGUAGCCAGUGGGGUUGUUCCAGCUUGUCAUCUGCCUCUGGACGCUGGGGGUGGAGGCUUGUAAUGUCACCAUCCCUAAGGUAAAUUGUGGUGUCCCCAGCUGGCACUGUCUGGCCACGGUGCUCUGUUAGAACAGGCUUGGGGGGCAGCCAUCUCCAGAAAGAUGUCCUCAACCUGGUCUGUCUUUGAGGUUUCAACCCACUGGCAGUGGCUCAGCACUGGCAGCUCAGCUCCUGGCGUGACCUGCUGCCACACCUCUUGCCAGGUCCUCGAGCUCAACAACCACUGGUGCUGCCGCUUCACUGCCUGCAGCAUUGCCUGCCUCUUCAACACCAUCAUGGCCAAGAUCAUGCUGUUUGGCUUUACCUUCCAAAUGGACAUGGAGACACACAAGCUCUACCUCAGACCAGCAGCAGGAGGAAAAUUUACAGUCUGGGCCCCAGUGCAGCUCAACUUUCCCUCUUGGCCCAGGGAGUCAUCCAGCAUCCCCAUCAGCAAGUACCAGCUGGAUGAGGAUGCCCACCUGCACACUUAUGACCUCAGGGUGAAGAAUGAGCAGAUCAUGCAGGCCAUGUCCCAUGCCAUUGCCUCAGCUGGGGGGUAGGACCAGUGCACACCUGGGGUGUCCAGGACCAGCGUCAAGGCUUGGAGCAGAUCCCUGGUGCCAUCCCAGGCCUGGCAGGUGUGUCCCUGGGAGCCACACUCUGCUGUGGCUGAGCCAGUUUCCCUCGUGCCUGGUCUCUGUUGCCCACCUGUGCCACAGCUGGAAAGACAGGUUGGACUUGGUGUUGGCACUGAAGAUCUGCUGGAUGCUGGCCUCCUGAGACCUUGCUCAGCCUGGUCUGCAUUGCCUCAGACCCCUAGAAAAUCUGUGGCAACACCCAUGCCACCAUCUUCUGCACUGGUACAUCUGCACAUCAACAUCCUCGAGGUAAGAUACUCCAGCCUUGGCCAUGGUAACAGGAAGGACCCUGUGCCCUUGGCGAUAGUCCUUUCAGACAUCAGCCCUGCCAGUACCCUUCCCCUCUGAGGCUGCUUGUUCCUCACCCUUCAGCUCUGAUCUGUCCCAUGGAGCCUUUACCUUCACAACUACCUCCACCCAGGUGGCCACCAGGAUUUCCCAUCGGCAGAGUCCCUUGGCCUCUGUGGUCCAGGGCUGCUCUAUGCCACAGUUCCCACCCUUGGCAGCUCCCCUCAGGUGUUCUUCCAGGAGCUGGACUAUGAGCAAAUCUGCUCGGCUAUACUGGUGCUCCUAGCCUCUUAGUGGCUUGUAAUCCAGGUGGAGACCACUGGCAGGAAGAUGAAGCAGUACCACCCCCUUUCACCAGCACCAGUGCCCAGCUGGAUGUCCAGGUUCCUCCCAUGAAGAUAAAGCAAGGAUGUUUCUGUAGCUACAUCAUAAGAUAGCUGUGAAGAUGUGGUGUAUCUGCAUGUGGUGGGUACUGCUGACCGUGGAUGCAGAUGGGUGGGCUUCCCAGGGAGGGGGAUUUCCUCUCUCCAGGGCACUCAUUGAGGCAGGGCUCGUGUCUUUCAUUCCAGACUACCCUAAUAAAAAGACUUGCCUGCUUUGGGA